AUACGUAGGGAGCGAGCGUUGUCCGGAAUUACUGGGUGUAAAGGGAGCGUAGGCGGGAGUGCAAGUCAGAUGUGAAAUACAUGGGCUCAACCCAUGGGCUGCAUUUGAAACUGCAUUUCUUGAGUGAAGUAGAGGUAAGCGGAAUUCCUGGUGUAGCGGUGAAAUGCGUAGAUAUCAGGAGGAACACCGGUGGCGAAGGCGGCUUACUGGGCUUUUACUGACGCUGAGGCUCGAAAGCGUGGGGAGCAAACAGGAUUAGAUACCCUGGUAGUCCACGCUGUAAACGAUGAUUACUAGGUGUGGGGGGACUGACCCCUUCCGUGCCGCAGUUAACACAAUAAGUAAUCCACCUGGGGAGUACGGCCGCAAGGUUGAAACUUAAAGGAAUUGGCGGGG
rnacentral:rRNA from 1 species